UACGGGGGGAGCAAGCGUUGUUCGGAUUUACUGGGCGUAAAGGGCGCGUAGGCGGUCAGCACAAGUCAGUUGUGAAAUCUCCGGGCUUAACUCGGAAAGGUCAACUGAUACUGUGCGACUAGAGUGCGGAAGGGGCAACUGGAAUUCUCGGUGUAGCGGUGAAAUGCGUAGAUAUCGAGAGGAACACCUGAGGUGAAGACGGGUUGCUGGGCUGACACUGACGCUGAGGCGCGAAAGCCAGGGGAGCAAACGGG
rnacentral:rRNA from 1 species